CGGCACACAUGUGAAGACGGCGCACCUGCGUCUCAUCUAUCAUUGGCUCCCAAAAAAGCCCAGCUCAUCCCUGCACUCCAGGCCGGAUCGUAAACUCAGCUUUCACAUUCCGGCUGGUCCGCUCAGUUCUCAGCCUGCUCUGCCAGCUCCCCUGGACAUCCAGAAAGGACUGGGAUCCCAGCUUGGCCUGCACAGUCUGGAAGCCAUUGCUUUCCACUGCACAUCUCUGCUGUGUUGGUGUGCAGCUCCUGGUCCUCCGAACCUGCCUGCCUACUUCCCUCCCUGCUGAGAACUUUUAGUUGGGUCUCUGGAUCUGGAGCUACACAUCUUUGCUUGUCUGUUCUCCAUCAGCUGUCCUGCUAUCCUCAUCCCCACCCUCAUCCCAACUGCUUGAGGCAGAUGGCUGCCCCUCUCUGAGCCUGGUUCUGCUCGAGGGUUUUUGGCUUUCCUGGGAAGGGGGAGUUGUUUUGUUUUUUUUCCUUUCCACUGUCCCCAGGUGUUUGCUUAAAGGGACUUCAAUGGUAACUGUUCCAGAGUCUGCUCCUGAGUCUGAGUUGACUAUAGCAGAAACAGCUCCUGAAUCAGCCAAAAUCUACUCAGCCUGUGGGUCAACUAAUGACAACACUUUUCCUGAGUCAGUCUACAGGCUUUGCUCUCUGCCUCUUGCCUGACCUUGUGAAUAGUCAAAGCUUAUAUGCUUGUUUUUGACUCUUAGUUGAAUGUUUUAGUCUACAUUUGGAUCUCUUCUUGAUCAGUCUGUAACACAAUCCAUAUAGUUCAGCGUCGUUGAAUGAACAUGAUCUAUAAUCACCAAAAAUUCUUCAAAUUAUUUAUUAUAAAUUAUAUAUUACUAUUUCUUUAAUUGUUUCUAACUAGAAUAAAGAUAUCAUUACUGUCAUGUUUAA